CAUUUGUGAUAAUGGAUAAAGAGGUUUGUGUUUAAGACUUGAGAGUAGUGCGGGUCUCUUUCUUGCAGGUCCUGCUGACACUAACUCAUCUAGCCAUUGUGAUGGAGUAACUGGGGGCAGAACUCUUCGAGAGAAUAUUCAGUGCUGGUAGAUUUAGUGAGGAUGAGGCAAAGUUUUUCUUCCAGCAGUUGAUAUCAGGAGUUAGUUACUGUCAUAUGAUGAAUUCUUAACGUCCGGGUGAGAACGUGGGCCGGCUCAUGUUUUAGUCUCUGUCGUAUGCAAUUUUACUUGGCAUUCUUCAACUGCAGCUAUAGUUAAGCAACACUCUCAGUAUUCCAUAAUCAAACCACCAUUUGAACUUUUUUCAUCCACGAAGUUAAGCUUUUAUGUGUCACCUUGAAUGGUUAUACGUUAUUGUUUCAGAUUCCUCCAGUGCGACAUUGUUGUUCUCUUACUUACCUCUCAAGCUUGCUUAACAUACCUAAUCUUAUUACUGUUGUAUCGUUAAGGAAUUCUCAACCGCGGUUCCAGUUCAUCGUUAUGAAUCAGCGCAAUACGGGUACAAAUUCUUGACACCCAAUGUUAGUUCCUAUAUUCUCUCAUUUGGUUGAUUUAAUGACGGAAUUGGUGGACACCUACAAAAUAAGCUUGUCGAAGUUCACUGUAAGCAGAUCCUAUAUGUCUGAUUGUCUGGGAUAUUGUAACUGUAUUUUGGUGCAUAUUGGGGAAUAGAUUGCUUUUAACUAGAGCUUUUCUGAUGGUCGCUACCAGUCCUCGCCUGUAUUGGGCAAUGAUUUUUUUUUUUUUUGUUUAUCAGCUGUAGUGGCAUACUAUGUCAUGACUGUUAUAACCUCUAACCUUCACCCUUUUUUUUCUUUUUUUUUUUUUUUUUUUCCUUAUUUAGGUGAAGUUUGCAUUCCAAUACAUGCAAAAGAGUUAUCCAGAAAAAGGCAAAAUUUGACAUAUUAUCGUGAACACCAUUUAGGUAUCUGAUCUAUGAAUAUUUUUUCUAUCUGUUGUUCUGAAUCUAUGACUAAACAAGUUGGCAUCCCGUACAUAUGAUAGGUUGAAUCUGUUUUUUCAUCUAUAUAUAUAUAUAUAUAUAUAUAACACGCCUAUACUCUUUAAAACCACUAUUAGAAUUUAAUUAUGAUUUGAAUUAAUUGAUCUCUGGAGCGUUUCAAUUGAUCAUCUAGGAAGAAAUAUACGGUUCUUUUGUAGUAGCAAAGGCUUGAGAGUGGGAGUUCUUAGCCAUGCAAAUGGUUUGCUUGCUUAAUUUAUUUCAAGGCUUGAAGAAGAGUUAAAACAAAUGUUUGUCUUAUAUGUUUGUAUUUGAAUGGUAACGAUGUUGUUCUUCUGGUGCAAAAAUCUUCCCUUGAAUCCAUUUCAGCUUAGGCUCUACUUUUCUUUCAUUUCAGCUUCAUUUUCAUGUUCAUCAUGUACUGUCUGUAUAUGUUUUGUGUCGGCAUUGGAGGGUGGUGGUCUGUCAUUUUGUUUUUCUUUUGUCUAAUUGUAAGACCUUCUAACAAUUGAAUUUAUUUUAUGUGGAAACAAUCAUUGUGAUCCUGUAGUUUGAGUUAUUUCAGUUACGUAUCAAUACUUAACUACUGGAUUUUUCUUAAGGAAAUUGGAUAUAGGCUACAGUACUAUGUGUAAAAUAUCAUGGAAACACAAUUGUGUUGCAUCCAUGCCUACUGCCUGCGAUAUGAUUGACAUAGUUUAAUUAGAUUGAAACCAGACGUACUAAUCUAAUUUAACACAAAUUGAUAUCUUGGUAUGUGACUGAUCUGCAAAGUAAAAGUGAAUAAUGUCUACGUGUAGUUUGUAUGAAAUGUAUACACUUCAAUGUAUGCAUUCAUCAUCUUUAGAAAUGGGUAGCGCCAGGGAUUAAAAAAAAAAAAACCUCUCACACGCAUGUAAGCGUGCAUGGAGAGGUAAGGUUUUGAUCUCUUUCAAUUUGAUAUAUGAUUGGAUUUUGUUUGUAGUAGAUUUGAUUUACAGUAAUGCAAUUGCUUUGCUCUUUUUCACCAUGAUUGUUUUAUCAGUUAUUGUUUCUUUUCUUUUCAUUCCGUGUGGAUUUUUUUUUACUUGACUGGUCAGGAACAAGAUAAAGCUUUUAGAUUGUUUGUAUCGAGAAGGAACGAUCCAAAUAAGAAUUUAGAACUAUGUGUUCUCGUGCUUAAUGAGGUUUUAUUUUGAGUUGUAUAUAUCUUUAGUUUCAAACAAGUCUAUAUGGCUUCAUUCGUAUGCUUUU